rnacentral:tRNA from 1 species
GCGAGUGUCGCAUAGUGGUCGAUUGCACUAGAUUUCCAAUCUAGAAAUACCGUGGGUUCGAAUCCCACUACUCGCUCA